UACCAGCACCCCGAGUGGUCGGGACGAUUAUUGGGCCUAAAGCAUCCGUAGCCGGUUUACAAGUCCUCCGUUAAAUCCAGCUGCUUAACAGAUGGGCUGCGGAGGAUACUAUAAGACUAGGAGGCAGGAGAGGCAAGCGGUACUCAGUGGGUAGGGGUAAAAUCCGUUGAUCCAUUGAAGACCACCAGUGGCGAAGGCGGCUUGCCAGAAUGCGCUCGACGGUGAGGAUGAAAGCUGG
rnacentral:rRNA from 1 species